rnacentral:rRNA from 1 species
CCUACGGGUGGCAGCAGUGAGGAAUAUUGGUCAAUGGACGCAAGUCUGAACCAGCCAUGCCGCGUGCAGGAAGACGGUUCUAUGAGUUUUAAACUGCUUUUGUACGAGGGUAAACGCAGAUUCGCGUAUCUGUCUGACAGUAUCGUACGUAUAAGGACCGGCUAACUCCGUGCCAGCAGCCGCGGUAAUACGGAGGAUUCAAGCGUUAUCCGGUCUUAUUGGGUUUAAAGGGUGCGUAGGCGGGCGGAUAAGUUAGAGGUGAAAUCCCGGGGCUCAACUUCGGAAGGGCAUUUGAUACUGUGCGGCUUGAGAGUAGUUGCGGUAAGCGGAAUGUAUGGUGUAGCGGUGAAAUGCGUAGAGAUCAUACAGAACACCAAUUGCGAAGGCAGCUUACCAAGCUACUUCUGACGUUGAGGCACGAAAGCGUGGGGAGCAAACAGGAUUAGAUACCCGUGUAGUC